rnacentral:rRNA from 1 species
UAUUGGUCAAUGGUCGGGAGACUGAACCAGCCAAGCCGCGUGAGGGAUGAAAGUACAGAGUAUCGUAAACCUCUUUUGUCAGGGAACAAAGGCGGGGACGCGUCUCCGGAUGAGUGUACCUGAAGAAAAAGCAUCGGCUAACUCCGUGCCAGCAGCCGCGGUACUACGGAGGAUGCGAGCGUUAUCCGGAUUUAUUGGGUUUAAAGGGUGAGCAGGCUGUCUGUUAAGUGAGCGGUCAAGGCCCGGGGCUCAACCCCGGCCCGCCGUUGAAACUGGCAGUCUCGAGUUGGAGAGAAGUAUGCGGAAUGCGCGGUGUAGCGGUGAAAUGCAUAGAUAUCGCGCAGAACUCCGAUUGCGAAGGCAGCAUGCCGGCUCCACACUGACGCUGAGGCACGAAAGCGUGGGUAUCG